UACGUAGGGUGCGAGCGUUAAUCGGAAUUACUGGGCGUAAAGCGUGCGCAGGCGGUGAUGUAAGACCGAUGUGAAAUCCCCGGGCUUAACCUGGGAACUGCGUUGGAGACUGCAAGGCUUGAAUCUGGCAGAGGGGGGUAGAAUUCCACGUGUAGCAGUGAAAUGCGUAGAGAUGUGGAGGAACACCGAUGGCGAAGGCAGCCCCCUGGGUCAAGAUUGACGCUCAUGCACGAAAGCGUGGGGAGCAAACAGG
rnacentral:rRNA from 1 species